GGAGGCAUCGCCUAGCCUGGUCUAUGGCGCGGGAUUGCUAAUCCCGUUGGGGGUAUACACCCCCUCGAGGGUUCGAAUCCCUCUGCCUCCG
rnacentral:tRNA from 1 species